GACGAACGCUGGCGGCGUGCUUAACACAUGCAAGUCUAACGGAAAGGCCCUGCUUUUGUGGGGUGCUCGAGUGGCGAACGGGUGAGUAACACGUGAGUAACCUGCCCUUGACUUUGGGAUAACUUCAGGAAACUGGGGCUAAUACCGGAUAGGAGCUCCUGCUGCAUGGUGGGGGUUGGAAAGUUUCGGCGGUUGGGGCUGGACUCGCGGCUUAUCAGCUUGUUGGUGGGGUAGUGGCUUACCAAGGCUUUGACGGGUAGCCGGCCUGAGAGGGUGACCGGCCACAUGGGGACUGAGAGACGGCCCAGACUCCUACGGGAGGCAGCAGGGGGGAAUAUGGCACAAUGGGCGGAAGCCUGAUGCAGCAACGCCGCGUGCGGGAUGACGGCCUUCGGGUUGUAAACCGAUUUCGCAUGUGACGAAGCGUGAGUGACGGUAAUGGGUAAAGAAGCAACGGCUAACUACGUG
rnacentral:rRNA from 1 species